rnacentral:lncRNA from 1 species
AUGGAUGUGACUUAAGGAAAUGUGUAAAAUGUUUAGGCUGUUGGUGAUUUUGUUAUGUUUGGUAUGUACUUAAAUUGUAUAAAUAACAAAAAAGAGAUAUGGUGUACUUGCCAAUGAGACCAAUAUCCCACAGAUAUAAAAUUAUAUGGAUGUAAACAACUAUAAGAAAUGGAAAAAAAAACUGUUAUUAAACAUAUUUAUUGUGUAAAGUUACUGUAGCUUUUGUUUCGUAAUUUUGAUCUGUUUUUUUGUUGGUUUUUUUUCUUUUUACUUAUAGUUUUUGUUUUGUUCUCGCAGUACAUACAGAUUUGUUUCCAUAUUACAACUAGACAUAUACGAUUACUAGAAAGGCCUUAACAAUAUAAUAUGAGAUGCAUUUGAUUUGCUAUGUAUAAAAAAAGGAAAUCAACACUUAUUUGAAUGAUUGAUCGGCAGUUUCUAAACGUCUAGUGGUUAUUAGUAAAUGCAUGUCCAUGACAAGUUUUUAACCCUUUUAUGUAUUUGAGUUAUAGUUAACAGAAAUUAAGUAAUGUCUCUGCGAACCAAAACAUACUUAGUAAUACCGACCUAGUGCUUAUGAACGAAAAAACAUUUAAUGAAUUUAUUGCGUUGUAAGCGCCGUUGCAGUAUAACUAUUAGUAUGUACUAUAAAAUCCAAUAAUCUGAUAAUGGUAUACUUAAAUAGUAAGUACUUAUUGUGGAUUUGGAAAACUAAUGUUUCACUAGUUAUGUUAGAGGCCACAAUAUUGGCAAGACCAAGACAUUAAAACUAUUUUUAAAAUCUGAUAUUAUCAUAACUAGAAAUAAAGCCUAAUUCGGAUAAAGGUAAUAAAAAACCCAUGUGUAGGAAGAUACUAGUGUUUUGUUAAAAAAAAGAAUCGAACAUUAACAGUUUGUUAGAAAUUGACCAGAGACUUGCAUAGAUUUUGACCUCCACCAUCACUAAAAAGACACUGAUUGUCAAAAUGCGUAUUUGGUGCAGAAAAAAAAUGUUACCGUUUAUCAUGUUUAUGUUGUUAGUACCACUGGGUCGAUGCCUCUGUUUGUGGACAGAUAGUACCCGAGGUUAUCACAAUCACAGAAGCCAGUACCUCGGUACUGGCAAGAAAAUACGGAUUUUGUAUUAUCAAAUUUGCUGUUACAAAAUAUUUCGAAUCAUUUAAAAUUAAGGAGUGUUUCUCCCUCUUGCAGAGCUCUGAUUCUUUUUCAUGCUUUGGCUAGACUUAUUUGUUCAUUUUUGGUUUACCGUUCUUCAUCCUUUUAAUUACAUUUGUAUUUUAAAUAUCGAGCAUCACUGAAGAGACAUUGAUUGUCGAGAUCUACAUUUGGUGCAGUAAAAAAUGGUACAAGUUGUUACGACGGGGCUUUUUAUUCUCCGAAAAAAUAUCGAGGUGUUUUACUUGGAUAUAUUAUAUUGAACAAUAAACCAGCCGUCCCCGUCCCGUCUGUUAACAAGGCUUAAUUUAUUUCUAAAGGUUGUUGCUGUUACACUAGAGUAUGACUUGAAAUGUCCAGAUUCUGGAGAAUGGCGUCUUCGGGAAAUCGGGUUUAAUUGCAGCAUCAAAAGCCAAUAUGUGUGUUUAUUUAAGUAUCCAGAGAGGACUUAUCACGAAACAUGUGAUGGACUGGAUUAUAGCAGCAUUGGUAAUAUAAUCCGAUACAGUUAACAUUAAAAAGUCCUUUCCUUUUCCUGAUACCAUAAACACUGCUUUCAUUUUUUUGUCUCUUAUUUGUAAAGCGUGUGUGGUAACUACAUUGUAGCUAUCAAUUGUGUGUAUUCAAUAUUUUUGUACAAAGAAGAGCCUGAUGGCUUUAAGCUGCUGACCUGAUUAAGUUAUAGCUUUUUCACGAUUAAUACAUUUCUCAAACAUAAAUGAAAAUGAAUGAACCAGCAAAUGAUAAGUUGUAAACAUAUAGCCAUGUUUUAUCAGUACGAUGGGAAAGUUACAGCAAUAUUAAAUCAUUCAAAACAAAACGCUUCCCACAAUAAUCGGAUUACAAUCAUAAAACACCGCCCAAUGUAGUUUUCAUUUAAAGAACAUACAUUGUAUUUAGAAAUUAGUUUCACGAAUGUGUUAUUAAUAAAAACUAUUAUGAAUAACAUACAAAAUCAUCAAGUUCAUAUAUACUUUGAUACAACUGAAAAUUCUGUUACAAUAAAAAAAAAUAUUUAACGCAACAAUGCAUGCUUGUUUUUAUAUACGCUGAUAAUUGAAUUUGAAUGUAUGAAAAUAUAUAAAAUUAUUCAUUUUGCUGUAGCAUAUGCGUAUUUCUUCUCAAAGAUGCUGAAAUGAAAACUUGUAUAAAAAGAUAUAUCUAAUUUGUUGACAAGGAAGGCUUAUAUGCUUUAUGAGCAUAUGAGUUUAUCCCCAAGUCCUUGAUUGUUUUUUUUUUUAUCUAUGUCCUGUUGUUUGUGUUUGAUGCACUGAUGUGAGGAUUAGUUUGAUGAAAAUAACAUAAUAUGUUAUGAUAUCCGUACGACACCUAUCAAAUAAAUAAUCAAACAAUUGUUUGUCACUGUACGGCUUUCAACAAUGAACAUAAACUAAAAAAUGGAAAACAACACGUUUUAUAAUGGAUUGCGUCCGAAGCGCUUUUUUCAAUUUACCUUCAUCAGGAACGCUCAAAGCCAAACAUUUGAAAUCCAAAGAUGUAUAAGUACCGAAAAUCUUUGAAGAGCUUUAUGUGAAAAAUACCUAAAAUAAAUAGCCAAAUUCAUCUAAAGCCAACUUUGCCUAAUUUCAAAAUUCAUAAACAGACAAUUUUAGUAAAGUUUGUUAAAUCAUGUCAGUACCGAAGCACUAACUACUGAGCUGAUGAUACCCUCGGGGACUGAUAGUCCACCAGCAGAGGUAUAGUACGCUAUAAAUGUAUCCAAAAUAAGGAGCUGUAAAUCGUAUCAAUUUAGAAAAUGAUAACGAUCUGACUGAUAUACAAAACAACCAGCAAAAACAGAUAUGAUAAAGGCGACUAAAUCGAUGGCGUUAAUCAUGUCUUAUGUCAUAUAGAUGAUCCAACCCUUCCUGGAUUUCUAAUAGUAAUAUAACAGCAGAAAAGUAUGGAACAAACUAAAGAAAAAAUAUUUUAUAUAUCCUGGGAUUUCAAAUGUUUGGCUUUGAGCGUUCCUGAUGAAGGUAAAUCCAGAAAAGCGCUUCGGACGCAAGAAAUUAUUAAACGUGUUGUGUUCAAUUUCAUACAUCACUGGGUCGAUACCUCUGCUGGUUGACUAUCAGUCCCCGAGGGAAUCAUCUGCUCAGUUGUCGGCACUUCUGGUCUGACAUGAUUCAACAAAUUUGUACUAAAAUUGUCCAUUUAAAAAUUUAGAAAUGAUUAAGAAACUAAGGUUUUAACUUCUUCAGGCAAAGUUGGCGAUAGAUGAAUUUGGCUAUUUAUUUCAGUGAUUUUUUACAUAUAGCUAUUCAAUGGUUUCGGACGCAAGAAAAUAUUAAACGUGUUACAUGUAUUUUCAUUUUUAUACAAUGUCUUUACUCAAAGUCAAUCAAUGAGUCUGAAAGUUAAACAAUAUUUUCUAUUAAAUUAAAGAGAAACGCGAUUUUAAAUUUUACUUACUUUAGUUUAAUCUUACUAUUUCCUAAAAUUCAAUAACAGUCACUUUGCAUCAAUAUAUAAGUUAUAGCCAUAAAAGAGGGGCAACAGAUACCAGAGGUACAGUCAAACUCAUAGACAGAAAAUAAACUGAUUACCCUCAUGGCUAAACAAAAAAUAUAUAAACAGACAAACAGUAGUUCACAAGAAACGACUUAAAAAACUUAAUACUAAGCAACACGAGCCCCACCAACAACUGUGAUUGGUUUCAGGUGCUCCGGACGGGUAAAUAAAUGUGGGUCAAUUACUCUGCGUUUGAAGGUCUCCUUCGAAAAAGUAAUACCGGCGCAGUAUGCUGACAUUUUUUUAUUGAUAUGGUCAUACUAGUAAAUCAAUUGUUAAAAAUGCUGCUUUGCAUUUUUCCAAGAACUAAUGAUUGUUACCCUAGAAUACUUCAGCUGUUCUCGGCAAAGUGUUUUUGAAUUGUCUUUCCUCAAAAUUUGUAGCUUGAUAAUUGAGCUUUUUGAUUUUAUAUUCGAGUUUUACUGACAAAUAUUUUGUUGAAUACACGUGGGUCUGGCGCACACAAAUUAUUUUAUAUAAUAAAAUGUCAUUGAUGUUUUUAUCAUUUAAAGGGACAAAACAUCUACUAUGUAUAUAUAUAAACGAAUAAUUUUUCGAUUAUUUCAUUUUUAGGCAGCAAACUCAUAUAUGAACCGUAUUUUAACAAGGCGCAAUGUAGCUACGAACGAUAUCAGCCUUUUCCAUUCUCAACUGACGGUAACAGUAAAUGUGUGUAUGAAAAGUCUUUUUGUACUGAAAAAGGUCAAUAUUUGUUUCAAAGAGGAAGUCAGAGAAGCGACAUUACCUGUGGAUGCGACUUGACAAAAGGGUAUGAAUUUGUCUCCAAGCCAAACCACGACUGCUACUGUGUUCCGUCGACAGAUGACUGCUCUUGUCACAAAAUUCCUUGCAAUACUCUAGGUAAGUGGACAACAGGCGUACUUCAACAUGAUUGUAGUGUCUGCGCUCAUGAGUUAUGUGUGUAUCAUUGAUGAAGACAUUACCACGUGUUUUUAUUUGUAUAAUAAAACUAUAAUUACAUGUAUUAUAAACUGAUCUGAUUUUCUCGAUGAACUUUAGAGAUUACACUUAGUUGCGUCUUUCUCAACAUUAAAAUGAUGUGUAUCUUCCGUUACCUAAUACAUAUAUUACAAAGGCCAACGUUGUUAGUGACUAUUAUCCUUCCAGCACCAUGAUAUCAGAAUUGUAAUAGUUAUCUUUCUUCUUACAUUUAAGAUUCCUUUCAAAUUUAAAAAUAAAAAAACAGACGAAAGAUACAAAAACGACAUUCAAACUCAUAAGUCGUAAAGAACUACCAUCGCCACGGCCAAAAAAAUAACAAAAAGACAAAAACAGUGACAUGACACAACCUAGAAAAUCACAGACUGAGAAACACAAAUAAAAUUGAGAAUGGAAAUUGGAAAUGUGUUAAAGAGACAAGAGAACAGAAAACAGUCGAAAACCACCGAUGGGUCUUCAAUACAACAUGAACAUCCAACACCCAGAUGCGUGCUUAAGUUGUCUCCUUAACAAAAAUGUGAACUAGUUCAGUGACAAUGGACCUCAUACUAAACUCCGAAAUAUAUAAAUGACCUGAAGUUAAAAAAUAACAUACAAGACACAGUUACACAUUUGGUGUAUUUUUGCGAAUAAUUAAAAAAAAAAAUUCAUCGGAAUAUUCUAAUUGUCCGAAUGAGACAUACGUUGAAAUCUCCGUUAAUGUUCGAUUUGUUUUUUAUUUAAGAAUUGAAUGCUCUUUUUUGUAAAUUUAUUGGGGUGUAAAAGCGUUGACCGAAGUACAUUUUGUAUGAAGCGCGGAAGCGCUUCAUACUAAAAAUGUGCGCACGGUCAAAGCUUUUACAACCCUAUAAAGUUAAAAAAAAAAAGCAUUCAAUACUUAUAAUUACAUUUUUACCUAUAGGAUCAUACAAACACGCCUUUUAUCACGUUUUUAUUUCAUUUACCUGUGCACUUUAUUGUGGGACCUCGUGUCAUCAUGAAUGAAAAGUUUUAUUGUGUGAUAUAACUGCUUAAGGAAUAACAUGUGAUGUGCAAUUAGCCAAUCAGAAUAAAGUAUUAUGAUGAAACAUUCAUCUAAUGUAAUUAUUUUUGUAUAUAGUUGACCAAUGUCCGCAAGACAGAGAUG